GCCAAUUUGCAAGCACAAAUUGGAGUUGCCCCCCCCCCUCCACUCGUCAUUAUAAUCCCCUUCAUAAUCGGUUAUAAGAAGUGCAACUCAAGGAUGCGGCAGCUGAAUGACCAGCACUCUUAUUGCUGCCAGCUCACAUCUUAUCAAAGGACAUGCAAAAGAAAUUGAAUGGCGGCCAUUUUGAGGGCGCUUUUGAUUGGUUGACGAUAUCGACCAAUACAGCAGAGCAGUCACAGGAGCAGGGGGGCAGCACAGCAGGCAGGCAGGCACAUGGCACACAGAGGGCGCAAUGGGAAGGGACAAUAAUCCAUUAUGUACAAAAUUUGAACAAGAAAUACGCACACACACACACACACACACACACUGUAUGUGGGGUUGGUCCAGAGGAUACACGAGAGGACAGAAGCGGCUGUCUGACGCGCACAGGCAGCAGGCAAAAACUAGAAAGUUCUCAUCGCAUCGCAGCAUCGCAGCAUCCCAUGGCAUCCCAUCGCAUCGCAUCGCGCUUUUGGUAAAUCAAAAAUAUUCUCUUUUCUUCUUGUUUUCCUCCUCGUUUCUUUUUUUUUUGCAGCAGUCAAAGGGAUUGGUGUGGCUGGGCGGUGGUGGCCGAGGGAGCCCUUGUCGACGCCAGCGAACGACAGCGACAAACGACAGCAACAACAACAAGUCACAAAGGACGAGGACGACAAACAAAAACAGAGCAAAGCAGAAAACUACAAAAAAAAAAGGAUGAAGGAUGGGUAGCACUUCCCUGCCAGCACAGAACUUACUAAUACAAGCACAAAGCACACAGCAACACACACACACACACUCGCGCAAUGAUAAAAGGGGAUGAACAGGGGAUGUUGUUCAAAGCAAAAGCGCCGCUCCCCAACCACCCUCUGCAGCAAGGGGAAAGAGCCAAGGAAAUUCAUCAAAACGCCAUUUGCAUAGCACUCCAUUACAGCGAAAAGAACAAAGAGAGGCACAAUUAAAAACGCUCGACACAGCCGAAAGCGGUGGGCAGAGACAGCGACAGCGACUGAGGUGCAGUAGGCGCCUCUAGGAGAAGGACAAGCAACGGCCACUUGAGGUCCAAGAGUCUCUCUCUCUCUCUCUCUACGCCUUCCUCGUGGCCAAAGGAAUCAACGCGGCGCCUCUUCAGGCGCAUCUUCUCUCCGCCACCGCCACCGCCCGUGUGGAGGCCCUAAACAUCAAAGAUCCACAAACACGACCUCAAUGGCUUAAUUGCUACUGGAAGAAUCUUCGGCAAAGGAGCGCAGCAGCCCAAGGAGAGGCACUAGCCUCUGUCUUAGCACUUAAGUCAAGCUACACACAAAGUCUGCUGCUUCCUUCUCCUCACUUUGUUUACGGCGGCAAUGCAUUGCAUAUUAUUAUCAAAUAUUUGUGCAAGUUGCUCACGAGUGUUUCACAUCAUUAUUUAUUGGUGGAAUUGGAUGAAUAAUUGGAUUAUUUCUUCUUGAAUCGGAGGGAAGAACUGUGGCAGAAGAGAGAUUGAGAGCCUAAAGGGCAUGUGUGCUAAGAUGCAUUCUGACCUUUAUGUAAAACAAGACACAAGCCAUGGUGCUGAGCGUUAAAUUCUCAUCUGGCUGCCACAAUCGAACCGAACACACGUCAGUGGUUCAAAUGCUAGUAAUGAUAAUUACAUAACAGCAUGUCCAGCAGCCGGCUUAGGAUUUUCGGACUGAACAACCUAUGAGAUAACUGAAAUAAGAUUGCCAAGUAUCCAAAGAGGAAAUUUAAUAAUUGUCUGCGAAAGACAAAUCUUAAAUAAAGUUAAAACACGACUCAAAAAAAAAAAUGUAAAACAAAUCAUAUUUUAUCUCCUUCUUCUGCGACGGUACUUUCCCUUUGGCAAACUUUUGGAUGUGUACCCCGACGGCAACAAGAAAGAAAGACUUUAAUUG
rnacentral:lncRNA from 1 species